AUGAAAAAAAUGGGCCUGUUCCCAACUCAGCACCUUCUCUGCAAAAACCUGGUCUCUCAACACGGAGAGACACUGCAGACAGACAUGAAGAUAAGCUCAGGGGGCCGCCAAGUCCCAAGAUGCGGCCUCACAUACACUCCGAGGAUGCAGGGCCUGCGCGUGCCCACCUACUCCGCGACUGCAGUGAGAAUGGUAGUGGGGUGCUGUGCUCAGUCCUGUCCGACUCCUUGCGAAACCACAGACUGUAGCUCUCUUUCAGAUGCCCGCCCCCACCCUCCGCCUGGGGAAGCUCGCAAGGAUGGGGACCGGCUGAAGGCUCGGAUUACCUGUGAGUCGGGCGAACCCGGGAAUACUCUGGAAGCCGCUUCAGAUACGCGGGGAGCUGCACCUUUACGAUGCGGGCCACGCUCUCCAGCACCAUCCUGGCCGGGCCCGCCUGUGCGUCUUGAGGUGGAAGAGGGCCUUCACGGUGGGCCUUUCACGUCCGGAGGCCCAGGAAACGAUACUGUGUCCGAGGAGGUAAAGCACGUGAGAGUACUGUGUAACCGGAAGGUGCCUUUCAAAACAUAGAACAAUGAACUGCACAAGAGCCAGUAUUUCACCUUGUAUGACUUAAAAUGUAACAACCAAUUGUUAAUAUGUAAGUUUUAAAAAAUUUUUUUCUUGGUAUUUCAUCCUAAAGUGAAAAGGAAUGUUUUUAAAGCAACUUUUCAUUCUCUGGACUGUUUAAUGUUUGUUAUCGUCCUUCACUAAAAAAAUAAUCCUCAGUAAGAGAAUUAAUUGAAAUCUAGAUAAAUUGAUUUUCUGUCAUUUUACCCUGGUCAAAAUUGUGCAAGUAAAAUUAUAAUGGAAAUUUCUACCAAGAUGUUUAGAUACAGAUUCAUGUUCAUGAGCUAGGGUAGAAAUGAUGAUUGAAAGGUUGGUGUUUACAUUCAGAUUCCUUUCAGUUUACUCCUGGGAGCUUACUUUUGAUUUAGUGGAAGAAGGAUCCUGGAGCUUGUUUAUCCUGAAAAUGAUGAGCUCAACUGCCUUGUCCUUAAGACUGUUGUUUUGGGAGGUGGUUGAGGCAGGGUGGUUUGCGGGAGUGGGGCCAUUAGGGGAAGAAAGCGUAGAGAGGCCACUAAAGAUUCGUUUCUUAUUUAGAGGCUUUGUUGUCUUGACAGGAGCAAAGCAAGCUGUGUUAAGUGAGAUUCCUAAGGCCUCUAAGAAGUUUUUCUUUAAAGGAUUAAGAGAUACAUACCUCAGUUAAGAGAUAUAUAAUAAAAUGCUCAAGUGUGUAACCAACACCCAGAUCCACAUAUACAGAAUACACCAAACACACCAUGGAGUCUCUCUAUGUCCCUGCUAAUCACAUCCCCUUACCACCACCAGCACCAUUCUUCCUUUACAUGUUCUUACAUCAUAUAAAAGAAAUUAUCCUCUAUGUAGUUAAAUUAUCCUCUAUGUAGUUCUUUUGUGACUGACUUCUUUGAGCAGUGGAUAGCUGUUUUGCUAUCCAAGUAGAAGAAAUGCAGUGAAUAGAAGUCUAUAUGGAUGAAACAUUUUUCUUUUUUUUGUCUUAAAAUUUCAAGAUGUGUAGACAUACAUUAGCUAUUUCUGAUCCAUUAAAUAAUUAUAUAUAUGUAUAUAUACAAUGUAUAAAAGGAGAUAGUUCCUAACCCCACCAAUUAAAAAAAAACCCUUAUUGUGCAUUUUAGGGAACAUUUUCUUACAUUCCCUUUGCUUUAAAUUUUAAGUCGUGUUUUGCUGUAUUUUUUAAUUUCCACUUCAUUUCUACCACCCUACUUUCUUGGCAGAACGUAAAGUAGAGGAGCUGAAGGUAAUUGUUACAAACAGAAGUGGCAGGCUUGUCUGACCACCUUCUGAUGUUGUUGUUAAGUUUCUAAGUCACCUCCAACUCUGUGACCCCGUGGACUACAACACACCAGGCUUUCCUGUCCUUCACUAUCUCCUGGAGUUUGCUCAAACUCAUCUCCAUUGAGCCGGUGAUGCCAUCCAACCAUCUCAUCCUCUGUUGCCCCAUUCGCCUCCUGCUCUUAAAUCUUCCCCAGUAUCAUCUUCUGAUGUAAUACCCAACAAAAUGUGGGGUUUCAAAAAUUAAUUAAUUUGGCCAUGUCACAUGGUGUGAGGGACCCCAACCAGAGAUGAGACCCACACCCCCUACAGAAGGUUGGAGUCUUAACCACUGGACCACCAGGGACGUCCCAAAAUCUGGUUUUAUUAUAAGUGUUUAUUUCUUACAUUUAGACCUCAUCUUUAAAUGACUUAAAGUUAUGAUCAGAAAAAGCCAGAUAAAAUAGUAUGUGGAUAAGGUUAAAGCAGUGAUUAGGAUUAAGAAUUUGAGUGAGCAGACUUCCCUGGUGGUCCAGUGGCUGAGACUCUGUGCUUCCACUGCAGGGGGAAUGGGUUCCAUCUCUGGUUGGGGAACUGAGAUCCCUUAUGCUGUACAGCCCCAGGUUGGAUAGGGGAAGAAUGAGGAUUGGUAAUCCUUUGGUUGCUUUAUGUCCUAGCUAGGCCCAAAUUUCUACUUGCCUUACAUCUUUCCUAGAAACUCAUCUGGUUCUGUGAAUUUAUAUAUGAUAAGUAAGCUGAUACAGCCCAAAUCUCUAUUUCCAGCCCAGAUUCUCUAAUACUAAUCCCAGAUGCCUCCAGGACAUCUUUGGGCAUCUUUGUCCAUUUUUCUAUUGCUUUGCUCAUCUUUUUCAUUGAUUUAUGUUUUCUGGAUAAUAAUACAUUGUAGGUUGUAUUAGUUGCCUGUCAUCUUCCAGUCCAUGCCUUUUCUCUGGUGUUUGUUAUGGUGUCUUUUUUUACAUUGAAAUUUAGUUUGAAUGUAAUCAGAUUUAUUCAUCUUUUCCUGUGUAUUUUUUGCUUUGGGUGUCUGAUUUAAGAAAUCCUGUCCUAAAGAAAAGAAGUCAUUUCCUACCUCAGAAUGACAAAGAUAUUCAUCUUUUUGCUAAAAAUUAUAAACUUUUAUUCUUCAUGUUUUAUUCUUUUUUUAACUCAAUCUACUAUUUUUGUGCAUAACGUAGAGCUCUAAUUUAUUUAUUAUAUAUAUAAACAACUAAUUGUUCUAGCAGCAACUAUUAAAUAGUGUGACUUUUCUUUUACAGUUUGUAAUGUCAUUGAUUCCAAAUCAGAUUUGCACACAUCCGUGGACUGUUUUUUCUUUUCCAUUGGUUAAUUUGUGUGACCUCUAUUAUAUUAUCACACUGUCAUAAUUGCUACAGCUUUAUUAUAAGUGUUAAUACCCAGCAAGAUAUUAACAAUGGUUAAUAGUCACCUAUUUCCUUGGAAAUGCCAGAUUCUUUCCUCCUGUAUAUGAAUUUCAGAGUCAUUUUAUUAAGUUUUAUGAAAAACUUGAAUGUUACUGAAAAUUCACUAGGACCUCAGUUUCUCUGCUGUAAUAUGCUGAUAGUAAUGCUUGUUAUGACUAGAUUUAAUUAAUUUUUUCAGUGUGUGUGCUUAAUAAAUGGUUAUUAUCAUCAGUAUCAUCAUCAUCAAUGAACGAGCAUUUAUUCUGGCUUUGAGAUCUUAAAUUUGUCUUCUAACCACAACUUGCUAUAUUUGUUUAUACAUUGUCCACUCCGUUACUACCUCUAACCUUAUUCUUUGACUUCUUCGAUAUAUUUAGUGUUGAAACCAUUUCUGUUUUUCUAGCUGUCAGUUUAUUCCUGGCUUUUUUUUUUUUUUCCCAUUCCUCACAAAAGUUGCUCCAAAUCUUCACCAUUCUUUAUUAUUUACUUAUUAAGCCUUCUAAGUUGAUACUACCAGUCUUAUUUUGUGCUCAGAUGACCUUGAUUUUUAGUUACUGGAGAUUUUUUCCUCACCAUCAUCUCUAAUGUGGCUAUAACUCCUCCUGUACUUAGCAUCUUCCCAGUCCUUCAGGUCUACCAGCUCCCUAUGUUCUAGAACUGACCCUCUAAGAUCUUGUUCCAUCAAUUAUCUUCCCUCAAAUUUUCAUUUUCUUUCUCUCUACUGGUCCUAUAAAUUGGUGAUUUCCAGGUUUUCACAUUUCACCAACCAAUACAUUUUUAAAUUAAGGAAGUAAACAUGCAUUUGUCAACGUUUUAUUUUGUCAAGAAAAGAUAUUUUAAAACAUCACGCUGCCGCUACUGCUAAGUCGCUUCACUCGUGUCCGACUCUGUGCAGCCCCAUAGACGGCAGUCCAUCAGGCUCCCCUGUCCCUGGGAUUCUCAAGGCAAGAACACUGGAGUGGGUUGCCGUUUCCUUCUCCAAUGCUUGAAAGUGAAAAGGGAAAGUGAAUUCGCUCAGUCAUGUCCGACUCUUAGCGACCCCACGGACUGCAGCCCACCAGGCUCCUCCGUCCAUGGGAUUUUCCAGGCAAGAGUGCUGGAGUGGGGUGCCAUUGCCUUCUCCAAUUCUUUUGGACUCAGAGGGAGAGGGAGAGGGUGGGAUGAUUUGGGAGAAUGGCAUUCUAACAUGUAUACUAUCAUGUAAGAAUUGAAUCGCCAGUCUAUGUCUGACGCAGGAUACAGCAUGCUUGGGGCUGGUGCAUGGGGAUGACCCAGAGAGAUGUUCUGGGGAGGGAGGUGGGAGGGGGGUUCAUGUUUGGGAACGCAUGUAAGAAUUAAAGAUUUUAAAAUUAAAAAAAUAAAAAACUAAAAAAAAAAAAAAAAAAACAGUAUAAUAAACAGCAAAAACUGAUUAGCAUCUACUACCAGAAUGUUGUAUAGCAUAAUAGAUAAGAUCAGAAGAUUCUGGAGCUAGACUAUUUGGACUAGAAUGCUGGCUGUGCCAGGGUAGAUUAUGUAACCUAUAAAAUGAAGAUAAUACUUAACCUCUUAAGGUUGUAUAGUAUAUACUAAUUCAGUGAGUUAAUAUGUACAAGGCAACUGAAACAGUCCCUGGCACAUAGACAUGCACAAUAGUAUUAGCAUUUAUCUUCAUCAUAAUUAUCAUUUUUACAUCACCAUCAACACAUCUUUUUUUCUUGUAGCUGCGUCUUAUUUUGUUUUUUACAGCGGUUGCUCAAGGGCUGCACAGUGUGUAUGUUAGUGCAGUGUGCCAAUGCUAAUCACAUGCAGCUCUUGUGGCGGGGGUGGGUAAUUAAGAUUGCUCUAAGUAUAAA
ensembl:lincRNA